UCGAUUCCCUUAGUAGCGGCGAGCGAAACGGGAAGAGCCCAAACCAACAAGCUUGCUUGUUGGGGUUGUAGGACACUCUAUACGGAGUUACAAAGGACGACAUUAGACGAAUCAUCUGGAAAGAUGAAUCAAAGAAGGUAAUAAUCCUGUAGUCGAAAAUGUUGUCUCUCUUGAGUGGAUCCUGAGUACGACGGAGCACGUGAAAUUCCGUCGGAAUCUGGGAGGACCAUCUCCUAAGGCUAAAUACUCUCUAGUGACCGAUAGUGAACCAGUACCGUGAGGGAAAGGUGAAAAGCACCCCGGAAGGGGAGUGAAAUAGAACCUGAAACCGUGUGCUUACAAGUAGUCAGAGCCCGUUAAUGGGUGAUGGCGUGCCUUUUGUAGAAUGAACCGGCGAGUUACGAUUUGAUGCAAGGUUAAGCAGUAAAUGUGGAGCCGUAGCGAAAGCGAGUCUGAAUAGGGCGUUUAGUAUUUGGUCGUAGACCCGAAACCAGGUGAUCUACCCUUGGUCAGGUUGAAGUUCAGGUAACACUGAAUGGAGGACCGAACCGACUUACGUUGAAAAGUGAGCGGAUGAACUGAGGGUAGCGGAGAAAUUCCAAUCGAACCUGGAGAUAGCUGGUUCUCUCCGAAAUAGCUUUAGGGCUAGCCUCAAGUGAUGAUUAUUGGAGGUAGAGCACUGUUUGGACGAGGGGCCCCUCUCGGGUUACCGAAUUCAGACAAACUCCGAAUGCCAAUUAAUUUAACUUGGGAGUCAGAACAUGGGUGAUAAGGUCCGUGUUCGAAAGGGAAACAGCCCAGACCACCAGCUAAGGUCCCAAAAUAUAUGUUAAGUGGAAAAGGAUGUGGCGUUGCCCAGACAACUAGGAUGUUGGCUUAGAAGCAGCCAUCAUUUAAAGAGUGCGUAAUAGCUCACUAGUCGAGUGACACUGCGCCGAAAAUGUACCGGGGCUAAACAUAUUACCGAAGCUGUGGAUUGUCCUUUGGACAAUGGUAGGAGAGCGUUCUAAGGGCGUUGAAGCAUGAUCGUAAGGACAUGUGGAGCGCUUAGAAGUGAGAAUGCCGGUGUGAGUAGCGAAAGACGGGUGAGAAUCCCGUCCACCGAUUGACUAAGGUUUCCAGAGGAAGGCUCGUCCGCUCUGGGUUAGUCGGGUCCUAAGCUGAGGCCGACAGGCGUAGGCGAUGGAUAACAGGUUGAUAUUCCUGUACCACCUAUAAUCGUUUUAAUCGAUGGGGGGACGCAGUAGGAUAGGCGAAGCGUGCGAUUGGAUUGCACGUCUAAGCAGUAAGGCUGAGUAUUAGGCAAAUCCGGUACUCGUUAAGGCUGAGCUGUGAUGGGGAGAAGACAUUGUGUCUUCGAGUCGUUGAUUUCACACUGCCGAGAAAAGCCUCUAGAUAGAAAAUAGGUGCCCGUACCGCAAACCGACACAGGUAGUCAAGAUGAGAAUUCUAAGGUGAGCGAGCGAACUCUCGUUAAGGAACUCGGCAAAAUGACCCCGUAACUUCGGGAGAAGGGGUGCUCUUUAGGGUUAACGCCCAGAAGAGCCGCAGUGAAUAGGCCCAAGCGACUGUUUAUCAAAAACACAGGUCUCUGCUAAACCGUAAGGUGAUGUAUAGGGGCUGACGCCUGCCCGGUGCUGGAAGGUUAAGAGGAGUGGUUAGCUUCUGCGAAGCUACGAAUCGAAGCCCCAGUAAACGGCGGCCGUAACUAUAACGGUCCUAAGGUAGCGAAAUUCCUUGUCGGGUAAGUUCCGACCCGCACGAAAGGCGUAACGAUUUGGGCACUGUCUCAACGAGAGACUCGGUGAAAUCAUAGUACCUGUGAAGAUGCAGGUUACCCGCGACAGGACGGAAAGACCCCGUGGAGCUUUACUGUAGCCUGAUAUUGAAAUUCGGCACAGCUUGUACAGGAUAGGUAGGAGCCUUUGAAACGUGAGCGCUAGCUUACGUGGAGGCGCUGGUGGGAUACUACCCUAGCUGUGUUGGCUUUCUAACCCGCACCACUUAUCGUGGUGGGAGACAGUGUCAGGCGGGCAGUUUGACUGGGGCGGUCGCCUCCUAAAAGGUAACGGAGGCGCUCAAAGGUUCCCUCAGAAUGGUUGGAAAUCAUUCAUAGAGUGUAAAGGCAUAAGGGAGCUUGACUGCGAGACCUACAAGUCGAGCAGGGUCGAAAGACGGACUUAGUGAUCCGGUGGUUCCGCAUGGAAGGGCCAUCGCUCAACGGAUAAAAGCUACCCCGGGGAUAACAGGCUUAUCUCCCCCAAGAGUUCACAUCGACGGGGAGGUUUGGCACCUCGAUGUCGGCUCAUCGCAUCCUGGGGCUGUAGUCGGUCCCAAGGGUUGGGCUGUUCGCCCAUUAAAGCGGUACGCGAGCUGGGUUCAGAACGUCGUGAGACAGUUCGGUCCCUAUCCGUCGUGGGCGUAGGAAAUUUGAGAGGAGCUGUCCUUAGUACGAGAGGACCGGGAUGGACAUACCUCUGGUGUACCAGUUGUCGUGCCAACGGCAUAGCUGGGUAGCUAUGUGUGGACGGGAUAAGUGCUGAAAGCAUCUAAGCAUGAAGCCCCCCUCAAGAUGAGAUUUCCCAACUUCGGUUAUAAGAUCCCUCAAAGAUGA
rnacentral:rRNA from 1 species